CGCAGCCGCGGUAAUUCCAGCUCCAAUAGCGUAUAUUAAAGUUGUUGCAGUUAAAAAGCUCGUAGUUGAAUUUCGGAAUCUGUCCGUUGGUCGGGCUUCAUUGUCCGUACUGGUGUGAUGGGUUCUUACCUUCUGAAUAACCAGCAUGCCAUUCAUUUGGUGCGUUGGGGAAGCAGGACUAUUACCUUGAAAAAAUUAGAGUGCUCAAAGCAGGCUAGUGCCUGAAUACAUUAGCAUGGAAUAAUAAAAUAGGACGGCAUGGUUCUAUUUUGUUGGUUUCUAGGAUCACCGUAAUGAUUAAUAGGGAUAGUUGGGGGCAUUAGUAUUCAAUUGUCAGAGGUGAAAUUCUUGGAUUUAUUGAAGACUAACUUCUGCGAAAGCAUUUGCCAAGGAUGUUUUCAUUAAUCAAGAACGAAAGUUAGGGGAUCGAAGACGAUCAGAUACCGUCGUAGUCUUAACCAUAAACUAUGCCGACUAGGGAUCGGACGAUGUUAAUUUUUUAAUNACUCG
rnacentral:rRNA from 1 species